CUAAUCAACACUUGGCCUCAUGACUCAUUACCCCAUUGUGAGAUGCUCCACCCAGAGGGAGGAGCCAAACAUUCCAUCCUGGACAUAAUCUGAGACUCUGAACACCACAGACACCCUUUCCAUGGGAUUCCCAGACGACAGGAGCUACAUAGCCACCACUGGACCUUCUGAGGAAGAGCAGACCCUUUCUGCAGGAUCACUGCUUCAACAGAACCACAUCCAGCACUUCAGGAGGAGUGCAGCCACCAUCUUAUCGGACUGUGACCGCCACCCUGACUAACAGGGUGUCAGUACAGAGGCAGGAUUGAAGCA